rfam:Picea glauca, whole genome shotgun sequence.
GAUGGUUAACAUAGCGUUAAUGCAUCAAAUCCCAUUAGAACUCCACAGUUAAGCUCUCUCAAGCUAGAGUAGUACUGGGAUGGGUGACCGCCCGGGAAGUCCUAGUAUUUACUUGUU